rnacentral:tRNA from 1 species
GGGGUUGGGGCUCAGUGGUAGAGCACUCGCCUAGCAUGUGUGAGGCCCUGGGUUCGAUCCUCAGCACCA